GGAUGGCUGGGAGUGGACGGAAGGGUGGGGGAUCCAAAGAGGGUAUAGAAGGGGGAUGAGAUGUGAAGGUGCUCCGCUGUCCCCGCGUGUCAUUGGCGUGAAGAGGGAAAGGAUUGAGUUGAAGGCUGAGAGUAGGGUUGGGAAGCUGGGUGUCCCUGCCAGGGCUGGGGGCAGCAAUGUCUGUAUCAUGGCUCCAUGAGCAUGAGCUGUAAUACAGCAUUAUAUAGGCAUGACUUCAUCUGUUUCCAUAAGAUUGCUUUCUCCCUCUCCCUUUCUUUGGCUGGUAAUUGAGAAACGCAUGAGCUCACCUCCUAGGAGCGGGAAAUGAGAACCGCAAGAGGAAACGAGCUGGAAAGCAUAUACGGGGCCGGAAAAAAAAAACAUAGAUUAGGUGGGGGGGUGGUCAGAGAUACUAUGGAGAAGAAAAGGGAUUCCUCUUGCAUGGGAUCAUAGCCAUACAGGGCUUAUGACAACUUCCUCAGUUCUGCAGGCAGGGCCAGGGCCAGGGCAGCCCCACUGACAUCGUGUGGCAACCUUGUAGCCUUGAAAGCAUCCAGAGGAUUAGGACAGAAGGAUGAUGUAAUACAUAACAAUGUGGUGGGGAGCUCAACUGCAGGUUUUGGGGUGGAAACACAAGCCAUCUGCCCCAGCUGAAGAUGCUUAGAGAUGAGGAGGGUGUGAAUGCACCCAGGUGCUGGGGAUUUAAAAAGCCUGGGGAGAAGGGCUGAUGGCUUGUUUUUUGUUUUGUUGCUGUCAGUAGGAGAGUUGCUUAAGGCUGUGCUCUGGCCUUGGAUUUGGCUUGUAGGCAGGUUUACAUGAGUUCAAGGGCGGAAGUUCAUCAGAGAGAAAUCCACCAAGAUUAAGGACAUAGUGACUGCAGUAUUUGCAAGAAGUUGCUGAGCAGUAAUUGUUGGAAGUGGACACCAGUGGAAAGUACCAAAUAUGUCUGCUGAAGUUUAUUCCUCCUUGAGUGCCUAUUGUGGCUGCUGAUGGAGACAAGAUACUGAACUGUGAACUUUCAGCCUGCCUUGAUAUUUUCUUCGAGGAGAUUAUUCAUGGAGCAAGGAUCUAAAAUAAAAAUUGAGGAGGAUGGAGCAAAGCUGGGCUUUGGUAACAGAUGCUCAUUGUGACGUGAACGUAAUUUCAGUACCUGCAGAGGAGAAAUGACGACCGGAGCCACUCAAGCUUAAAGUUAUGCCCACCACCUGCCAUCCUGUCAUUGGACAUCACUGGGAAGAGCCUGACUCCAUCUUUCCUUCUCCAGUAAGAUUAAACUCCCUGUGGCUAAGAAUAGCUUCUGUGAUUGUGUGAGCAGCAGCAAAAUGUAAAAAGAGUGUGAACAAUGUGAAUGUCACUGGAGGCAAAAAUCCCACUCCACCCGUCGCGACACAGUCCACUUUGAUAUGUCUCCGGGUGGCGCUUGGCUAAUUUUGUAUCUUCCUCAGUGGGAUUCCCAGUUGAUGUGACAAAAGGGAUAGCAAAGUGAGAGCAAUCAUUUUGCAUCAAGUAAUGCCUCUGGUACUGCAAACAUGCUGAUAAUCAGAGACUGCCAACCCCAGAGGGCCACGAGCAUUGACCAAGCUGGAUGUUUUGUUCCAUAACAGACGGCUUGCUAUGAAGUACCCCAAGUCUUCAACUGAUGGAUUCUCAGGAGGUAGCUCCUGGCGUAGCCAUGCAUGCUUUGCUCCCUAACUGCUUGGAGAGGGCAAGAUAAAGGAGCUCUAAAUAAUGUUGGUGGGUUUUUUUUGUUUGUUUGGUUGGUUGGGUUUUUUGUUUGUUUUUUUGUUGUUUUGUUUUGUUUUGCUUUUUCCCAAAUUAUCUCUCAGGGGGCCCUGGUAUCCCGAUAGCUCUUGGUUCUCAGCAGUUUCUCAGAGGCAGAGUGGGAGACCCAGGACAGGAGGCCUCAGACAAGCUAGAAGGAUAUGAAGAGAAAGCUAAAGCUAAAACUGAGGCUGCUCAGUUGUUAUUUGGAGACUCAUCAUUAAAUGCCACUUUUCAGGGAAGAGAGAGCUGAGAAUAGCUCAAACUCUUGAAGCUGCAAAUAAACCUUUUAAAACAGAUCCCAGGUAGGAUGAAUUAAAUCUUAUGCCCUUGAGUUUGCUGGGAAACUGUACUGGAAAUGCUAAGUCAUGGCCUGAACCAGUGAUUGAGCACCUGGUAGGAAGGCAAUGCCAACCUAGGAGAGCUCAGCUGAAUGCAAUGCACCUGGUAGGGGUAGAUCCUGGCUCCACCCCUUCCCAGACCUCAUUUAAGGGUUGGCGGUGCCUUUCUGAAGGCUUCCAAAGGUAAGCAGCUUCAUUUCUUUGUUUAUAUGCCUAUGAUUGUUGUGUUUCAUCUAGUCAUCACUAGCUGCUCUGUCAGACUUAGCAGCUCUGCUGUCAUUGCUGCACUUUCCAUUGCAUUACAGAAGCUGAGGCAGUUUGUUUGAGACAUGUGCUGUGUCAGCAGCUUCAGUGUUUUCUUGCCCAAGUACCAUACCUAUUCAGAAACCUAGUGAGCAAACUGGUGACCAGAGUAGAACUAUAAUUUAAUGCAGCCAUCUGGGUUUGAAACAGUUUCUGUGUUGUCUGCUGGAGGAACAAAUAGGACAAGAAUACGAGAGAAGUAGUGAUGUACAGAAACAGUGUUAUUGCCAAACACUUGGUGAUGUCAAGUAAGUCAAGUGAUGGACUAUUUGGGAAUUAUGGACGUAGAUCUCUCUGAAAGUAAUGCUUUCUAUUUCCGUGGGAUCUACAGUAGAUACAGAGAGCACAGUAACUGUGAUAGAGAAAAUUCUCAGUAUUACAGAACACUAUUUUUCAGCAUUAGCUACCACUGUUAGCUAUGCAUUUUUGCCUGUGAUGAACAAGAAUCUGCAUGCUUGUAAAAAUCUGCACCAGUGGUGGUGUUCUACUGUUUUACAGCUGCUAUGAUGUCAUCAUUGAUAGGGAAGUGUUGCCUACACAGUCCAUCAUUCAUCAGCCCAAACAGAUGGAAGACGGACGGUGCCAAAUCUGGACUAUACAGUGGGUGUGGAAGGACAGUCCAGCCAAGGUUGAGAGUGUGUUCCAUGGCCUUCAAGCUGGUGCAAAGCUUGGCAUUAUCAUGUUGCGAGAGAGAGGUUGUCAUUUCUGGCCCGCCUUCAGUUCAGUCAGUAUUGUGAUGAUUUAUCUGGAUUCCAGGAAACACAGAAGGAUCACCCCUUUUUAUCCCCAAAAGACAGCACACACUGCUGGGAGUUGUGUCUUGAACUCUUUCUUCAACAGAUGAUUUUCUUUAGGAGAGAGGAUGAUGGGGACAUAAUCUGUCCAAGAAGCUGGAAGAAUACCCUCAAUGGUCCCUGUGCUCCUGUCAUGAAAUUACGAAAUCUGUAUUCAAAAUGUGCUUACAGUUCAUGUUUCUGUGUCUAAGACACCAGUGAUGUUUCCAGCCACGUCUCAUUGAAAAUCUCUUUCCCUCACUUCAUUACUGGAGGUCAAGUGGCUGCUUCAUAGACUAAGCUGUGACAAGUCAAAGCCAAGACCACUGAGUUUGUGCCUUUUUUUUCCCCAGUUCUAACAUUCCACUGCAGUACUCCUCAAAACUAUGAAAUAAUUUGCGUUUUUAUUGGUUUAUUUUUCUACAAGAAUAAAAGAUUCCCUUCUCCAUGUCCUUACUCUUUGCCAAGCAAGAACCUAGCUGGUUGGAAACCUAAUUUUUCAGAUCAGUGUUGGCAGAUACCAGGAGAAGGCAGGGAAAGAGGAUCUUGCAGGGCUCCCUGUAAAAGCUGGCAUGAUUUUGAUGAGCAAGGCAUUCCUUAGGAUGCAUGCAGCUGGGAGUGCAGCAGCAAAGCGGGGAGAGAAAAGACAGCAGAUGUGAAAGGUUCUUAUUUGCUUUAUUGAUAAUGUAUUACAAAUGAAAAGUACAAUAGGUGCACAAUCUGGGAAGUGUGCAUCUUGCCUAUUGCUGAGUGCAGACAAGUGACACUGUCAGUGAUGCAUCAGUGCCUUUCCCAGGCUUCCUCACAGCCAUAUAAAACAUCAGUGGACAACUGUAUAUACAAAAUAAUAAUAAUAUUAAUAAAAUAAAAAACAACAAACACAGUUCUUCCCUUUGUUUCGUGCAACAUCACCAAAGAAAAAGAGCUUUUCAGAGCAGAAUGAUGAAAUGGAUGAAGCUUUGAGGAAACAAGGAAGCAAAGAAAUCAGUCAGUAGGAUCAGUCUGUCCUGACAGCAUUGGCACUACUCGUUGAACACUAAGAAAACAGCUCAGCUGUUUUCUGGAUUUAAAAAUGAAAACUGAUCUCAGAAAUAACAUCGAAGAAUGGGAAAAGAAGAAGAGUACAUAAUUAGUAUUUUUUUUUCUUCUCCUAAAUCUCCCCAUACCCAGAAUAAACUAAGACAGUGAUUUACACACCUUGCAAAGGUUGUGGCCACCUCCCUGCAGCAGGCUGCACACUCUCUCCUUUCCUCUAUCCCACUGAGAAUCUCAUGGCAAAAAUGCCCUCUGAGGUGAUGCCUUAUGCAAAAGUCCCUUGCCCUUUGCCUUAUGCAGAGCUCAACAAUAGCACUGAGAUCAAGGGAGUGAUUUUUUCCUGGGGCACCGAUCACCAUUACAGAUUUCUCUCUUGGCUUCUUUGCUUCUUCAUCCCCAUGUAUGUCAGAAGAGCACAAGAAGUCGCUGGAAGAGACCGACUGGAGGUUUUAUGGGUGUACAGACCCACUCCAAGCUGUGGAAAUGCUCCCCAAGGAUCUCCAAGCUAUGCCUGUGACUUAUUUAUGGACCUGCAAUGGAAAUUUGCAGGCAACAGAAGUAACUUAAGGUCCCUCAGAAGAAGCAAAUGUCCCAUCACAGCCAGUCUCACCCACUCAAGGGACUUUGCUGUACAAGAGCAGGCUCAGAGCUUCCUGGGGCUGCUUAGAUCUACCCUUGUAAGUCAGUGUGCUCUUUGCUGUGCCUGGGGGCACAUUUUAAACAAUUUCCCAGUUUUCCAGUGAGCCCUGAUUUAUCACUCUGCUCUGGACCCAUGGCAGCUGAGGUGGAAAAGAGCCACUUUCUGAUAUGCAGCAACAGAUGUACUUCCACUCCUUGCCAGCAUCCCUGGCCUCACUACCCAAACCUCAACGUGUUUCUGUGCAUUUGUCCCACCAAUGCAACCACCACAAGCACCAGGAUGCAGAAGGUGUCAAGGUUGUUGGCAUCCCGGGAAGGAAGAGAGCUCAGAGCAUCCGUUGCCAUUUUUUUUUAAACAAAGGCUUCAUGGCUCAACAUUGCAAGGUAAUAACAAACAAAAUGAUUAUACAUUAAAAUUCUUCCUCUCUUGAGACUCCCCUAGCCCUCCCCUCAAAACCACGAAAUAGAAUACAAUUCAAGUAGUCUUUUUGUUUGUUUGUUUGUUUUAAAUGUAUGGAUAUAUAAGACAAAGCAAGUACAGAACUGGUUAACAGAGUGUCCCCAUUUUAUUAGCAAGUGAGAGUAUAUCAUAGGGAGAUGUAAUUGAUUCCCCCUUUUUUAUGGUUCCUAGACAGAUAAUAUAUAUUAUUUUAAAAACCAACCUAUUUUACAGCCCUCUGUCCACCUCUCCAACCCAUCUGCUCAUUGAGUCCUGGGCCUCAAGCAAGAGACUUGCCUUUUCCCUGCCUGUGAACCUAUCCCAGCCAUCAGGCAGAAGGAGGCCACCACACUGAUGGAAGUCACCAGGCUGGCAAAGGCCACCGUGAUGACAGAAGCCGUCUAUGUUGACGGAGACCAUCCAUGUUCAUGAUGGCCAUCCAUGCUGACAGAGGCCAUCCAUCAUCCUGACUGAGGCCAUCACACUGAUGGAGAAAAUCACAUUGAUGGAAGCCACCAUGGUGACGGAGAGCGUCCAUCAUGUUGACCAAGGCCAUCACAUUGUCUGAGGUCACCAUGCUGAUGGAAGUCACCAUGCUGACUGAGGCCAUCGCACUGGUGGAGGCCACUAUGCCAGGGGAGGACGCUUGCCCCAUGGUGGGGAGAGGGUCCACAUCAUUCCAAAGGAACAUCCUCCACAGCCUUGGGCAUGGGGCAAGGGGAGGAGGGCAGGGGGUUCUGCAAGAAGGACGCAAGGGGCAAGAGAAGGAAAAGGAGAUGGAGGGACAGGGGGCUGGCACUUCCGCACAGCGAGCAAGCCGUCGGGGUUGAGAAAAUGGAGAAGCUGAUCUUCACCAGGGUCCACGCAGAAGCAGGGCCUGGAGUUGUAACCGGCAAUACCUUUGCCAUUCAGAACAGUUUGUAUCUAGAACAGUUUGUAUCUAGAACAGUUCCCUUUUAGUCUAAAUCAUCUUGUUUUUUGUUUUUUUUCCUUAAAAAAAUAAAAGAAAAAAGAAAAAAAAAAAAAAGAAUGCGUGUAGAUGUAUUUCUGUGUGUGCGUGCAUCUGUGUACAUGAGUGACAGCCAACUAGCUCAUAUGGUCAUGACCAAGCUAUAUUUCAGAAGAGAAAAGAAACACAUUUAUCACACUUUUCCUAAAACGAAAAGCUAAAAUUUCAAGUUCAGUAUUCGCUAUCUUGUCCUUCCCUCCCCACCCUCCUUUGCUAUUUCUGGGUUUUUUCCCUUCCAACUUACUUUAGCACCAUAACACAUUUUAAACAUUACAAUCCCUCUUCAGAUACUACACAAAAUGUCCCAUAAAAAUAGUGCUUUUUUGCCAAAAAAGUUAUAUAAUAUAUUAUAUAUAUAAGUCAACUAAAUCCGUGGCAAAUGUGCAAUGCAGACGCCUCCCCCAUUUAAAGUGAGCAUCAGCUCACUUCUUUUUUUUCCCCCCCCCCCCCCUUUUCCUUUUUCUUCUCUCUCUCUCUCUCCUCUUCCUCUCUUUCUCCCGUCAGUGAUGGUUUCAAAAAGGUGCAAGUCAAUUUGGAAUCUUGUAAUUAAGCACACACACAAAAAAUGCAGAUGGGUCUCCUCGGAACUUCGUCUCAGUUACAUUUUCUUUUUAAAGGUGCAAAAAAAAAAAAAAAAAAAAAAAAA